rnacentral:rRNA from 1 species
UCUUCCCUCUUUCUUCGUGCCUCCUCCCUGCACGUCGAGCGCACGGACGAGAAGCUUGCUUCUCUGAUGUUAGCGGCGGACGGGUGAGUAACACGUGGAUAACCUACCUAUAAGACUGGGAUAACUUCGGGAAACCGGAGCUAAUACCGGAUAAUAUUUUGAACCGCAUGGUUCAAAAGUGAAAGACGGUCUUGCUGUCACUUAUAGAUGGAUCCGCGCUGCAUUAGCUAGUUGGUAAGGUAACGGCUUACAAAGGCAACGAUGCAUAGCCGACCUGAGAGGGUGAUCGGCCACACUGGAACUGAGACACGGUCCAGACUCCUACGGGAGGCAGCAGAAGGGAAUCUUCCGCAAUGGGCGAAAGCCUGACGGAGCAACGCCGCGUGAGUGAUGAAGGUCUUCGGAUCGUAAAACUCUGUGAUUAGGGAAGAACAUAUGUGUAAGUAACUGUGCACAUCUUGACGGUACCUAAUCAGAAAGCCACGGCUAACUACGUG